rnacentral:rRNA from 1 species
GGUGAACGCUGGCGGCGUGCUUAACACAUGCAAGUCGAACGCUGAAGCCCUUAGCUUGCUUUGGGUGGAUGAGUGGCGGACGGGUGAGUAACACGUGAGUAACCUGCCCUUAACUUCGGGAUAAGCCUGGGAAACUGGGUCUAAUACCGGAUGUUCACCUUUUACCGCAUGGUGGUUGGUGGAAAGAUUUAUUGGUUUUGGAUGGACUCGCGGCCUAUCAGCUUGUUGGUGAGGUAGUGGCUUACCAAGGCGAUGACGGGUAGCCGGCCUGAGAGGGUGACCGGCCACACUGGGACUGAGACACGGCCCAG